rnacentral:rRNA from 1 species
CCAGCUGUAAACGGUGUACACUUGGUGUGGGGAGUAUUGACCCUCUCCGUGCCGGAGCUAACGCGUUAAGUGUACCGCCUGGGGAGUACGGCCGCAAGGCUAAAACUCAAAGAAAUUGACGGGGGCCCGCACAAGCGGAGGAGCAUGUGGCUUAAUUCGAUGCAACGCGAAGAACCUUACCAGGGCUUGACAUGCAGCUGCAAGUCCCGUGAAAGCGGGAUGCCUUCGAGGGUGCUGCACAGGUGCUGCAUGGCUGUCGUCAGUUCGUGCCGUGAGGUGUUAGGUUAAGUCCUGCAACGAACGCAACCCUUGUGUCUAGUUGCGACCGCCGGUGAUGAAUCGGUGAGCACUUUAGACAGACUGCUCGUAUAUGCGA